AGCAGCCGCGGUAAUUCCAGCUCCAAUAGCGUAUAUUAAAGUUGUUGCAGUUAAAAAGCUCGUAGUUGAAUUUCGGGGUUAGCAGGUUGGUCGUGCCACUGGUAUGUACUGGCCUUGCUGAUUCCUCCCUCUUGAUGAGCCGUAAUGCCAUUAAUUUGGUGUUGCGAGGAAUCAGGACUGUUACUUUGAAAAAAUUAGAGUGUUUAAAGCAGGCAAGCGCUUGAAUACAUUAGCAUGGAAUAAUGAAAUAGGACGUUUGAUCUUAUUUUGUUGGUUUCUAAGAUUGACGUAAUGAUUAAUAGGGAUAGUUGGG
rnacentral:rRNA from 1 species